rnacentral:rRNA from 1 species
UACGUAGGGUGCAAGCGUUAAUCGGAAUUACUGGGCGUAAAGCGUGCGCAGGCGGUUGUGCAAGACAGAGGUGAAAUCCCCCGGGCUUAACCUGGGAAGUGGCCUUUGUGACUGCACGGCUAGAGUGUGUCAGAGGGGGGUAGAAUUCCACGUGUAGCAGUGAAAUGCGUAGAGAUGUGGAGGAAUACCGAUGGCGAAGGCAGCCCCCCUGGGAUAACACUGACGCUCCAUGGCAACGAAAGCGUGGGGAGCAAACAGG